rnacentral:rRNA from 1 species
CGCCUUCGCCACGCCCGCUCAAGAAACUUAAAUGAAUUGACGGGGGCCCGCACAAGCGGUGGAGUAUGUGGUUUAAUUCGAUGCAACGCGAAGAACCUUACCUGGUCUUGACAUCCCGGAGACCCUUAGGAAACUAGGGGGUGCUUCCAUCUGGAAGAAUCUGGAGACAGGUGCUGCAUGGCUGUCGUCAGCUCGUGUCGUGAGAUGUUGGGUUAAGUCCCGCAACGAGCGCAACCCUUGCCUUUAGUUGCCAGCAGUUCGGCUGGGCACUCUAAAGGGACUGCCGGUGUUAAACCGGAGGAAGGUGGGGAUGACGUCAAGUCCUCAUGGCCUUUAUGACCAGGGCUACACACGUACUACAAUGGCCGAUACAAAGGGCAGCGACACUGCGAGGUGAAGCCAAUCCCGUAAAAUCGGUCUCAGUCCGGAUUGGAGUCUGCAACUCGACUCCAUGAAGUUGGAAUCGCUAGUAAUCGUGGAUCAGCAUGCCACGGUGAAUACGUUCCCGGGCCUU